rnacentral:lncRNA from 1 species
UGAGGGGUGGGCAGGGAAGGAGAUGAGAUGUUCCUGGAUUGAUAGCUUCUGCUGUGGUCUCCUGGGGAAGGCCUUCCAGCCUGCAGCAUUUGUAACUCUGCUGUCACCAAGUGUUAUAGAGGUCACCCCGGAGAAGACUCUUGCUCAGGGACAGAUGGAGCCUCACUCAUUGGGAUGAGCCAGGACCCUGGUCAGUGGGCACAGUUACAGGUGCCGAGGAGUCUUAGAACUGUCCAAGCAGAACAGAGCUAAAAGGGACCCUGUAGUUUGGUUAUUCUGGUAACUUCUCUUUAUGGCUGAAUAAAGAUCAAAAUGGGUAAUAAGAGAAUACAAAAGAAGCAUCCUAGACUUUCCAGUGCCCAAGGAGACAGGGAAGAUCAUGAUGAAGCAGGUGACAUGGAUGAGGAAAAUGAAGAUGAUGACAAAGACGGUAAUUUGGAUAAGCAUCCCAGCUCUCCACAAUGAAUUCAACUGGAAAGUGGGAAUGAUAAAGACUACUUGCUCCAACGGUGACAACAGUUGGCCGUGAUGCCCAGGAGGAAGUUGGUGGCUACAGAAGCGAUGGAGACCACAAAGCCCACAAAUGCGAUGAAGAGGUAUACCGACUACAACGUCAACAGUGUAGCCUCUGGAGAAGCCAUAUCACCUGAGUGUGAAUCUCUCCUGCCUCUCAUCACUUGUGUGAUUGUGGAUAUCUAGUCUUCCUGUAUUUUGCUUUUUGUUUCUUGUUUUCAUUUGUCAAGUGGCAAUAAUCAUAUCUGCCUUCUGGUACUGUGAUCAGGAUUCAGAGAGUUAAAGCACACAAUCAUUUCUGAUGCGUAAAAAGCAUUAGGUGACACGCGCGCCUUUUAUAAUGAUCAUAGUUGGGUCUCUCAAGUGUCGACUGGAGGGUCAUACUCUGCACACAGACAUCUGUGGAAAGGGGCUGCUCCUUUACUGGCCUGGCUUUCCCAGCAUCGUGGAACUGUCCUUUAUGAUUACUUCAGUAAAUGCAUGAUGGUUAU